rnacentral:rRNA from 11 species
AUCUAUACUUCUGGAUCCUAAAGGCACCAGAUCUCUUCCGAUGUUGGAAGCUAAGCAGGGUCAACGCUGGUUAUCAUUUAGAUGGGAGAUCACCAACAAAUACUAGGUGCUAUGGUCU